rnacentral:rRNA from 1 species
UACGUAGGGGGGCAAGCGUUGUCCGGAUUUAUUGGGCGUAAAGAGCGUGUAGGCGGCCUGACAGGUCUGCUGUGAAAACUCGAGGCUCAACCUCGAGAUGUCGGCGGAAACCGUCUGGCUAGAGUCCGGAAGAGGAGAGUGGAAUUCCUGGUGUAGCGGUGAAAUGCGCAGAUAUCAGGAAGAACACCCGUGGCGAAGGCGGCUCUCUGGGACGGUACUGACGCUGAGACGCGAAAGCGUGGGGAGCAAACAGG